UACGUAGGGCGCAAGCGUUGUCCGGAAUUAUUGGGCGUAAAGAGCUCGUAGGCGGUUUGUCGCGUCUGCUGUGAAAACUCGAGGCUCAACCUCGGGCUUGCAGUGGGUACGGGCAGACUAGAGUGCGGUAGGGGUGACUGGAAUUCCUGGUGUAGCGGUGAAAUGCGCAGAUAUCAGGAAGAACACCCGUGGCGAAGGCGGCUCUCUGGGACGGUACUGACGCUGAGACGCGAAAGCGUGGGGAGCGAACAGG
rnacentral:rRNA from 1 species